CCGGCGAUUUCCGAAUGGGGAAACCCAGUGUGAUUCGUCACACUAUCAUUAACUGAAUCCAUAGGUUAAUGAGGCGAACCGGGGGAACUGAAACAUCUAAGUACCCCGAGGAAAAGAAAUCAACCGAGAUUCCCCCAGUAGCGGCGAGCGAACGGGGAGGAGCCCAGAGCCUGAAUCAGUGUGUGUGUUAGUGGAAGCGUCUGGAAAGGCGCGCGAUACAGGGUGACAGCCCCGUACACAAAAAUGCACAUGCUGUGAGCUCGAUGAGUAGGGCGGGACACGUGGUAUCCUGUCUGAAUAUGGGGGGACCAUCCUCCAAGGCUAAAUACUCCUGACUGACCGAUAGUGAACCAGUACCGUGAGGGAAAGGCGAAAAGAACCCCGGCGAGGGGAGUGAAAAAGAACCUGAAACCGUGUACGUACAAGCAGUGGGAGCCUCUUAAUGGGGUGACUGCGUACCUUUUGUAUAAUGGGUCAGCGACUUAUAUUCUGUAGCAAGGUUAACCGAAUAGGGGAGCCGAAGGGAAACCGAGUCUUAACUGGGCGUUAAGUUGCAGGGUAUAGACCCGAAACCCGGUGAUCUAGCCAUGGGCAGGUUGAAGGUUGGGUAACACUAACUGGAGGACCGAACCGACUAAUGUUGAAAAAUUAGCGGAUGACUUGUGGCUGGGGGUGAAAGGCCAAUCAAACCGGGAGAUAGCUGGUUCUCCCCGAAAGCUAUUUAGGUAGCGCCUCGUGAAUUCAUCUCCGGGGGUAGAGCACUGUUUCGGCAAGGGGGUCAUCCCGACUUACCAACCCGAUGCAAACUGCGAAUACCGGAGAAUGUUAUCACGGGAGACACACGGCGGGUGCUAACGUCCGUCGUGAAGAGGGAAACAACCCAGACCGCCAGCUAAGGUCCCAAAGUCAUGGUUAAGUGGGAAACGAUGUGGGAAGGCCCAGACAGCCAGGAUGUUGGCUUAGAAGCAGCCAUCAUUUAAAGAAAGCGUAAUAGCUCACUGGUCGAGUCGGCCUGCGCGGAAGAUGUAACGGGGCUAAACCAUGCACCGAAGCUGCGGCAGCGACACUAUGUGUUGUUGGGUAGGGGAGCGUUCUGUAAGCCUGUGAAGGUGGCCUGUGAGGGUUGCUGGAGGUAUCAGAAGUGCGAAUGCUGACAUAAGUAACGAUAAAGCGGGUGAAAAGCCCGCUCGCCGGAAGACCAAGGGUUCCUGUCCAACGUUAAUCGGGGCAGGGUGAGUCGACCCCUAAGGCGAGGCCGAAAGGCGUAGUCGAUGGGAAACAGGUUAAUAUUCCUGUACUUGGUGUUACUGCGAAGGGGGGACGGAGAAGGCUAUGUUGGCCGGGCGACGGUUGUCCCGGUUUAAGCGUGUAGGCUGGUUUUCCAGGCAAAUCCGGAAAACCAAGGCUGAGGCGUGAUGA
rnacentral:rRNA from 1 species